GACCCUAUAGAGUUUCAUAAGUUUAAGUUUUGGGGCUUUUUAGUAUUUAAUAUUUCAAUUUUUAAACUUAUUUAGUUGGGGUGACUAAAAAAUUUAAUUAACUUUUUUAUAUUUUGACCACUAAUUUGUGAUUUCUUGAUCCAUUAUUAAUGAUUAAUAGAUAAAAUUACCUUAGGGAUAACAGCGUAAUUUUUCUUGAGAGUUCUAAUCGAAAGAAAAGAUUGCGACCUCGAUGUUGGAUUAAAAUAAACUUUUGGUGUAGCAGCUAGAAAAGUUUGGUCUGUUCGACCAUUAAAAUUUUACAUGAUCUGA
rnacentral:rRNA from 1 species